GACAAGCGGUGAUGAUAAGGACAUACUGUCACAACCCCGAAACAACAUGUGGGUUUUCUGUCACUACCUCAUCUGAGCUUUAA
ensembl:snoRNA small nucleolar RNA SNORD11B